CGCUUAGGGUUCGAGGAGGGGCCUGCGUCCGAUUAGCUAGCUGGUGGGGUAAUGGCCUACCAGGGCAUCGGUCGGUAGCUGGUCUGAGAGGAUGAUCAGCCAGACUGGGACUGCGAACGGCCCAGACUCCUACGGGAGGCAGCAGUGGGGAAUUUUGGACAAUGGGCGCAGGCCUGAUCCAGCCAUGCCGCGUGCGGGAAGAAGGCCUUCGGGUUGUAAACCGCUUUUGUCAGGGAAGAAACGGCUUUUUCUAAUACAGAGAGCUAAUGACGGUACCUGAAGAAUAAGCACCGCUAACUACGUGCCAGCAGCCGCGGUAAUACGUAGGGUGCAAGCGUUAAUCGGAAUUACUGGGCGUAAAGCGUGCGCAGGCGGUUAUGCAAGACAGAUGUGAAAUCCCCGGGCUCAACCUGGGAACUGCAUUUGUGACUGCAUAGCUAGAGUACGGUAGAGGGGGAUGGAAUUCCGCGUGUAGCAGUGAAAUGCGUAGAUAUGCGGAGGAACACCGAUGGCGAAGGCAAUCCCCUGGACCUGUACUGACGCUCAUGCACGAAAGCGUGGGGAGCAAACAGGAUUAGAUACCCUGGUAGUCCACGCCCUAAACGAUGUCAACUGGUUGUUGGGAGGGUUUCUUCUCAGUAACGUAGUUAACGCGUGAAGUUGACCGCCUGGGGAGUACGGCCGCAAGGUUGAAACUCAAAGGAAUUGACGGGGACCCGCACAAGCGGUGGAUGAUGUGGUUUAAUUCGAUGCAACGCGAAAAACCUUACCUACCCUUGACAUGUCAGAAAUCCUGAAGAGAUUUGGGAGUGCUCGAAAGAGAAUCUGAACACAGGUGCUGCAUGGCCGUCGUCAGCUCGUGUCGUGAGAUGUUGGGUUAAGUCCCGCAACGAGCGCAACCCUUGUCAUUAGUUGCUACGAAAGGGCACUCUAAUGAGACUGCCGGUGACAAACCGGAGGAAGGUGGGGAUGACGUCAGGUCAUCAUGGCCCUUAUGGGUAGGGCUACACACGUCAUACAAUGGCCGGGACAGAGGGCCGCCAACCCGCGAGGGGGAGCUAAUCCCAGAAACCCGGUCGUAGUCCGGAUCGUAGUCUGCAACUCGACUGCGUGAAGUCGGAAUCGCUAGUAAUCGCGGAUCAGCUUGCCGCGGUGAAUACGUUCCCGGGUCUUGUACACACCGCCCGUCACACCAUGGGAGCGGGUUCUGCCAGAAGUAGUUAGCCUAACCGCAAGGAGGGCGAUUACCACGGCAGGGUUCGUGACUGGGGUGAAGUCG
rnacentral:rRNA from 1 species